rnacentral:rRNA from 1 species
GAUGAACGCUGGCGGCGUGCCUAAUACAUGCAAGUCGAGCGGACGCAAGAGAAGCUUGGCUUCCUGAUGUUAGCGGCGGACGGGUGAGUGAAACGUGGAGAACCUAGCUAUAAGACUGGGAUAACCUCGGGGAACCGGUGCUAAAACCGGAAUAAAUUUGGAACAGCAUGGUUCAAAAGUGUAAGACGGUCUUGCAGCCACUUAUAGAUGGAUCCGCGCUGCAUUAGCUAGUUGGUAAGGUAACGGCUUACCAAGGCAACGAUGCAUAGCCGACCUGAGAGGGUGAUCGGCCACACUGGAACUGAGACACGGUCCAGACUCCUACGGGAGGCAGCAGUAGGGAAUCUUCCGCAAUGGGCGAAUGCCUGACGGAGCAACGCCGCGUGAGUGAUGAAGGUCUUCGGAUCGUAAAACUCUGUUAUUAGGGAAGAACAUAUGUGUAAGUAACUGUGCACAUCUUGACGGUACCUAAUCAGAAAGCCACGGCUAACUACGUG